rnacentral:rRNA from 1 species
GAUGAACGCUGGCGGCGUGCCUAAUACAUGCAAGUCGAACGCUUCACUUCGGUGAAGAGUGGCGAACGGGUGAGUAAUACAUAAGUAACCUGGCAUCUACAGGGGGAUAACUGAUGGAAACGUCAGCUAAGACCGCAUAUGUGUAGAGAUCGCAUGAACUCUAUAUGAAAAGUGCUACGGGACUGGUAGAUGAUGGACUUAUGGCGCAUUAGCUGGUUGGUAGGGUAACGGCCUACCAAGGCGACGAUGCGUAGCCGACCUGAGAGGGUGACCGGCCACACUGGGACUGAGACACGGCCCAGACUCCUACGGGAGGCAGCAGUAGGGAAUUUUCGGCAAUGGGGGGAACCCUGACCGAGCAACGCCGCGUGAAGGAAGAAGUAACUCGUUAUGUAAACUUCUGUCAUAGAGGAAGAACGGUGGAUAUAGGGAAUGAUAUCCAAGUGACGGUACUCUAUAAGAAAGCCACGGCUAACUACGUGCCAGCAGCCG